CCUACGGGUGGCAGCAGUGGGGAAUAUUGGACAAUGGGGGGAACCCUGAUCCAGCCAUGCCGCGUGUGUGAAGAAGGCCCUCGGGUUGUAAAGCACUUUCAGUGAGGAAGAACGCCUGGUGGUUAAUACCCAUCAGGAAAGACAUCACUCACAGAAGAAGCACCGGCUAACUCCGUGCCAGCAGCCGCGGUAAUACGGAGGGUGCGAGCGUUAAUCGGAAUUACUGGGCGUAAAGCGCGCGUAGGUGGCUUGAUAAGCCGGUUGUGAAAGCCCCGGGCUCAACCUGGGAACGGCAUCCGGAACUGUCAAGCUAGAGUGCAGGAGAGGAAGGUAGAAUUCCCGGUUUAGCGGUGAAAUGCGUAGAGAUCGGGAGGAAUACCAGUGGCGAAGGCGGCCUUCUGGACUGACACUGACACUGAGGUGCGAAAGUGUGGGUAGCAAACAGGAUUAGAUACCCGAGUAGUC
rnacentral:rRNA from 1 species